UUUCCUCUCUCUCUCUCUCUGUCUAUUUUCUCCUCUCUCCCUUUUCCCAUUCCCUUCCCUCUCCCCAAUAAAACCCCUUACAUAAGCUCUGCUUGCGCGUUUGCCCCCUUUCCACUCCUGGCCCAGCAGACCACACUUUCUCCCCCUUACCCUGUCUCUAAUGCACUCCUGUGUGACGAUGUUGACCUCUGUGGUUGAUUCAUCACACCACAGCCCCAGCCUAUCAACAGCAAAAUGUACUUCAGAAGUUUUCCAAACUUUUGUUCCUUUCCAGGUCUUCUGCACAAAACUGAUGUCCCUGGCAAUCCCACAGGACUUUUGAGCUGGCUAACAAACUGUUAAAACUACAGCAUCAGAAAAGAAGGGAGUCUGGGUGGCCUAAGAAAUGAACAAGCAGCCACCUACUACAUUCACUAUCUUGACUGAAGGUCAGAGAGUUUAAGCCUGCUCUUGCUCUUUUAAGAUUAUUUACAAGAGUUCUGACUUAAGGCCAGAAGAGGGCACCAGACCCCAUUACAGAUGGUUGUGAGCCACUAUGUGGUUGCUGGGAAUUGAACUCAGGACCUUCGGAAGAGCAAGCAAUCCUCUUAACCUCUGAGCUAUCUCUCCAGCCCCAAACAAGAUAUCUUGACCUAGGAUAUGGUUAUUUAGUGUCUUGGAUAUUGAAAUGACUCACAGAGUUGGAUCCAUUCCACCUUGACCAAAGAGACCCCUACCCUGAAAUAUGAGAACCCCAUUGAGGCUGGACCCCAACAGAUGGGACCCCAAUGUGGGACCCCAACAUCCAUACCUGUGUCAGAGAGUAUCAGUGGCUAAGCUUUGGAGUAUGCUUCUUUGGGAUUCCAGCAUAUACUGAAGACCAGCUGAGAUACUCAGUCUCAUGGACCCAGCAACAAUGGUCAGCUGGAGCUGAAUAAUUGGUGAUGAAGAGGAGACCGGCAUCAAUGAGGUGAAAUCUUCUGGGAAAUGUUUGCUGCAAGAACAUGGAGUCUAUGUUCCAAACAUGGCUAAGGCUGUAGCUCCUUCUGGCAGUUAAACUUGGUAGUGUAAGAGUUACCCUGGUGGUAUUGGUUUUAGAGGCAUGAAAAGGACAUGAAGAGCUUCUUCAAAAAGGUUGGUCUCAAAAUUACACUAGAAAGAAAUAAAACAAAAGUCAAUUUUUCAAUAGCAGGGAUAUAUUGUGGAUAGAUGUACACUACACCCUCAAAAGCUAUAACUUCAAACAUCAUCCUUUAAAACGUGAAAUAAGCUGGGCAAGGUGAUGUAUGUCUUUAAUCCCAGCCCUGGUCAAAGAGGCAGAUGGAUCUCAUUGAGUUCUAGACCAGCCUAGUCUACAAACUGAGUUUCAGGACAGCCAGAGCUGUUACACAGAGAAACAUUGCCUGGAAAACUAGAUAGAUAGAUAGAUAGAUAGAUAGAUAGAUAGAUAGAUAGAUAGAUAGAUAGAUGAUAGAUAGAAAAAUAGAUAGAUGUAAGAGCAGCCACAUUGUAAAAGAAAUAUUACUAAAGCUUAAAUCACACAUAGAACCCCACACAAUAAUAGUGAGAAACUUUAACACCCCACGCUCACAAAUGGAUAAGUCAUCCAGACAGAAACUAAACAGAGAAAUAGCAGAACAGAUUUUAUGAAUCAAAUGAGCAUAAGAGAUAGUUUAACAUUUCACACAAACACAAAAUAAUAUACCAUAUACUCAGCCACAAAGCCAGUCUCAACAGAUACAAAAAAAAACUGGAAUAACCCUGAUAUCUUAUCAGACCACCAUGGAGUAAAGAUGAAUUUCAACAACAACACAAACUACAGAAAGCCUACAAACUCGUGGAAACUGAACUACUCUCUACUGACUUACUACUGGGUCAAGGAAGAAAUAAGUUAAAGCCUUAUUAGAGUUCUAUGAAAAUUAAUUCACAGCAUACCCAAAAUUAUGAGACACAAUGAAUGCGGCACUAAAAAGAAAGUUCAUAACACUGAGUACCUUGAUGAAGAUUUUGGAGAGAUCCCAUACCAGUGACUUAACAGCACACAUGAAAGGUCUAGAACAAAAAAAGAGACACACCUAAGAAAAGUAGAAGACAGGAAAUAAACUGAAGGCUGAAAUCAAUAAAAUAGAAACAAAGAGGACAAUCCAAAGAAUCAAUGAAAUAAAGAUUUGGUUCUUUGAGAAAAUCAACAAAAUAGAUAAACCCUUAUCAAAAAUAAGUAAAAGUCAGAGAAUAUACAAAUCAACAAAAUCAGGAACAACAAAAAAAGGAAGACUUAACAUGAGACUCCUAGGAAGUUCAGAGGAUCAUUAGGUCAUACACCAAAAACCUGUACUCCACAAAAUUAGAAAAUCUAAAAGAAAUGAACAAAUUUCUUAAUAGAUACCACUUACCUAAGUUUAAUCAAGAGCACAUAAACAAUUUGAAAAGAUAUAUAACCCCUAAGGAAAUAGAAGCAGUUAUUAAAAGUCUUCCAAACAAAAAGAAAAAAAAAGCCCAAGGCCAGAUGGUUUUAGUGCAAAAUUCUUCUAGACUGUCGAAGAGAUGAUAACAGUACUCUUCAAAUAACUCACAAAAUAGAA